AUUGAACGCUGGCGGCAUGCUUUACACAUGCAAGUCGAACGGUAACAGGGUGCUUGCACCGCUGACGAGUGGCGAACGGGUGAGUAAUGCGUCGGAACGUGCCGAGUAGUGGGGGAUAACGCAGCGAAAGUUGUGCUAAUACCGCAUACGUACUGAGGUAGAAAGUGGGGGACCUUCGGGCCUCACGCUAUUCGAGCGGCCGACGUCUGAUUAGCUAGUAGGUGAGGUAAAGGCUCACCUAGGCGACGAUCAGUAGCGGGUCUGAGAGGAUGAUCCGCCACACGGGGACGGAGACACGGCCCAGACUCCUACGGGAGGAAGCAGUGGGGAAUUUUGGACAAUGGGCGAAAGCCUGAUCCAGCCAUGCCGCGUGUCUGAAGAAGGCCUUCGGGUUGUAAAGGACUUUUGUCAGGGAGGAAAUCCCUAGUGCUAAUAACACUGGGGGAUGACAGUACCUGAAGAAUAAGCACCGGCUAACUACGUGCCAGCAGCCGCCGUAA
rnacentral:rRNA from 1 species